UCAGACGAUGCGUCAUGCAUAUCAAUAAGCGGAGGAAAAGAAACUAACAAGGAUUCCCCUAGUAACGGCGAGUGAGGCGGGAAGAGCUCAAAUUUGAAAUCUUAAAGGGUUUCCCUUUACGAAUUGUAGUUUAAAGAAGUGUUUUCUGUUGAGGUUUUGGUAAAAGUUCUUUGGAAUAGGACAUCAUAGAGGGUGAGAAUCCCGUAUUUGACCUUUACUUUCAACUUUGUGAUACACUUUCAAAGAGUCGGAUUGUUUGGGAAUGCAGUCCAAAAUGGGUGGUAAAUUUCAUCUAAAGCUAAAUAUUGGCGAGAGACCGAUAGCGAACAAGUACCGUGAGGGAAAGAUGAAAAGAACUUUGAAAAGAGAGUUAAACAGUACGUGAAAUUGUCAAAAGGGAAGCGUUUGACACCAGUGUUGUUUUUCUGAAAAUCAAUUAAAGAACUGUUUAUGCUAAGUUGUUUAGACUUUAUCAGCUAACUGUUUAGUUCUGAGCUUUUCUUUAAUGCACUUUUCAGUUAACAAGUCAACAUCAAUUUCUUUUGCUGUAAAAAAGCUUGAGGAAGGUGGCUUGAGAUUCGUCUUAAGUGUUUAUAGCCUCUUGCCUAUGCAGUCGGAGAGAUUGAGGUCUGCAGCGUAGAUCCUUCGGGGCUAAAUGCAUUUGUGCUAAGUUAUAGCAUUUUAUAGACAACUUGUUGACUAUGAUUUGUCUUGUAGCUUACUCGCUUAUGUUAUUUUACCUACGCUUAGGAUGUUGAAUCUGUGCGAGACUAC
rnacentral:rRNA from 1 species